GCAGACGUAGCUCAGUUGGUUAGAGCGUCGGAUUGUGGCUCCGAAGGUCGUUGGUUCAACUCCAACCGUCUGUACCA
rnacentral:tRNA from 5 species